AUAAACAAUUUUUUAAAGAAUGUACCUGUUUUCGUCCGAUCACUGAAGUCAAGCAACGUUGAGAAGUUAGUGGAUACUUGGAUAGGUGACCGCUUGGGAACACCGUGUGAUGUUGUUC
rfam:Cyphomyrmex costatus contig17732, whole genome shotgun sequence.